UCAAUUUACUUUAAAUAAUCCUAACUUUUGAUUAUUCUACAAUGAUCCCAACUUUCACCUGUGUAUUCUUUCUUCAAUCCUAAAAACAGGCAACCUGCUUAAAAGGUUAAUUUUUUUAAAAAAUUCCAAUAUGCCACGUGUUGAGCAUUUAUUGGUCCAAAAAAUGAAAAUCUAAAAAAUAAAAAUAAAAACUAAAAAACAAAAGAAAAAAGAAAAAUCAACAGAAACACCAGCCUCGCCGUACUCCCUCCGAUCUCCUCCUCUCCAUUCCCAACUAGAAUCCAGCACUUCCUCCUCACCGGCGAUUGAGCAAGAUUCCGGCGCCACAUUAUGAUUUAUCAUCAUUUUUACUGGAGUUUCACUACUACAAAAUGCAUAUAAUCUCGAAGCUAUACCCUCGACACUAUGGAAGACCGUCACAACUAAAUUUAGGAUUCCGUGUUUCAACGACGCUUUUAAGUGUCAUUUUGACUUUCUCGACAACUUUCCCCAUCGAGAACAUAAAAAUAGUUACGUAUGAACGUGAUAUACAUUGUAGCCACUAACCAGCGUUUUAGGGUUAUCCCUUUUCAAUCCUACAAUUCAACCGCCACCUUUACAUCUUCUCUCUCUUACGAGUCUCUAGUCUCACUCCUCAAAUUUUCAUUCUUUGCUUCCAAAUUAUGGUUAAUGAAUUUCUCUACUUCGUAUGAUCACAAGAUCUGAAAUCUUCAAGGUAGAUAGGCAUUGUCGCAAAUAUGCAGAUCUCGCCUAAUAUAUCAUGGAUGAUGAAGAUAGGGAAAAAGAAAUGAAGGAUUGUGAUUGUUCGUGAACUUUUCACACAUUAACUUGGAUGUCAUGAACCUAAUUAUCACUAGUACAUAAGAGGUUGAUUUGCGUUUAAGAAGGGUUGUUUUGCAGGAAGCCAAAUCCGGCUCAGCAGAUUGGGACUAAAAACUUGAGUAAAUGUAUGGGUGAUUUAUCCUUUACCUCUUGGAUUGCUUGUUAGUGCGAAUGCAUAGACACAAGACUAUAAGAGGCCACCCAACCUAGAUAAGCUUAAGAGCUGGAUUCAUAAAAUUGCAUAGGUUUCCACUCUUGAACAGCUAUGGAGCAGAGUUUCGCGUGUUGAUCCGAGUCCUGAAAGGAGGAGGCUGCCUUAAUAUCUAGUCAAGUAGUAUAUACAGAAGCAUUGCGGUGUCAAGUUAUUCCACUAAGAAUGUCUUACCAGAUUAGCUACACACUUGCAUAAAAAAGAAGCUGCAAAAUAUAUAAAACAAUACGGAGUAGUAGUCUUCUUAUUUUUUGUUUAAUCUAAACAUGUUAUAGUAGAUAAGCAUAUUGUAUGUAAUUUUUAUUUGUUUAUCAGUGUUUAUGCGGUUAAUAUAAGAAAGAAUUAUGAAUAAUUUAACUUUAGAGAUGUAAUUUUUGGUACUUAACUAUAUCUAAAUAUAACUUGAUUUUUAGCA